rnacentral:rRNA from 1 species
AGCGAACGCUGGCGGCAGGCCUAAUACAUGCAAGUCGAGCGCACCUUCGGGUGAGCGGCGGACGGGUGAGUAACGCGUGGGAACGUGCCCUUUGGUACGGGAUAACUGAGGGAAACUUCAGCUAAUACCGUAUGUGCCCUACGGGGGAAAGAUUUAUCGCCAUUGGAGCGGCCCGCGUUGGAUUAGGUAGUUGGUGAGGUAAAGGCUCACCAAGCCUACGAUCCAUAGCUGGUCUGAGAGGAUGAUCAGCCACACUGGGACUGAGACACGGCCCAGACUCCUACGGGAGGCAGCAGUAGGGAAUCUUGCGCAAUGGGCGAAAGCCUGACGCAGCCAUGCCGCGUGAAUGAUGAAGGUCUUAGGAUUGUAAAAUUCUUUCACCGGGGAAGAUAAUGACGGUACCCGGAGAAGAAGCCCCGGCUAACUUCGUGCCAGCCGCCGCAGUAAAAC